AGUGAACGCUGGCGGCAGGCCUAACACAUGCAAGUCGAGCGGCAGCGCGGGGGCAACCCUGGCGGCGAGCGGCGGACGGGUGAGGAAUUCGUCGGAAUCUGCCUUUUUGUGGGGGAUAACGUAGGGAAACUUACGCUAAUACCGCAUACGUCCUACGGGAGAAAGUGGGGGACCGCAAGGCCUCACGCAGAAAGAUGAGCCGACGACCGAUUAGCUAGUUGGUGGGGUAAAGGCCCACCAAGGCGACGAUCGGUAGCUGGUCUGAGAGGAUGAUCAGCCACACUGGGACUGAGACACGGCCCAGACUCCUACGAGAGGCAGCAGUGGGGAAUAUUGGACAAUGGGCGCAAGCCUGAUCCAGCCAUGCCGCGUGUGUGAAGAAGGCCUUCGGGUUGUAAAGCACUUUUGUCCGGAAAGAAAUCCCUGGAGCUAAUACCUUCGGGGGAUGACGGUACCGGAAGAAUAAGCACCGGCUAACUUCGUG
rnacentral:rRNA from 1 species